rnacentral:sRNA from 1 species
GCCAGGUGCGGUGGCUCAUGCCUGUAAUCCCAGCACUUUGGGAGGCCGAGGCAGGCGGAUCACCUAAGGACAGGAGUUCGAGACCAGCCUGGCCAACAUGAUGAAACCUUGUCUCUACUAAAAAUACAAAAAUUAGCUGGGCAUGGUGGUGGGCACCUCUAAUCCCAGCUAAUCAGGAGGCUGAGGCAGGAGACUAGCUUGAGCCCCUGAGGUGGAGGUUGCAGUGAGCCGAGAUCAUGCUUGCUGCACUCCAGCCUGGGCUACAGAGUGAGAGUCUGUCUCA